UGGCCUACGGGACGCAGCAGUAGGGAAUUUUCGUCAAUGGGCGCAAGCCUGAACGAGCAAUGCCGCGUGAACGAGGAAGGUCUUCGGAUCGUAAAGUUCUGUUGAAGGGGAAAAAGAGCGGAGAGAGGAAAUGAACUCCGAUUGAUAUUACCCUUCGAGGAAGUCACGGCUAACUACGUGCCAGCAGCCGCGGUAAUACGUAGGUGGCGAGCGUUAUCCGGAAUGAUUGGGCGUAAAGGGUGCGUAGGCGGUAUGUUAAGUCUGGGGUUAAAUGCAGAAGCUCAAAUUCUGUUCGGCACUGGAUA
rnacentral:rRNA from 1 species